GGGGAUUUAGCUCAGUGGCAUAAGUACCUGCCUUGCAAGCAGGUGGUCGUGAGUUCAGUCCCCG
rnacentral:tRNA from 1 species